GACGAACGCUGGCGGCGUGCCUAAUACAUGCAAGUCGUACGCAUUGAUAAUGGAACUUGUUCCAUUUGACGUGAGUGGCGCACGGGUGAGUAACACGUGGGAAACCUACCCUUCAGCGGGGGAUAACCGUCGGAAACGAUGGCUAAUACCGCAUAGGUCUUUGAGUCACCUGACUUAAAGAGGAAAGACGGCUUCGGCUGUCACUGAAGGAUGGUCCCGCGGUGCAUUAGCUAGUUGGUAAGGUAAUGGCUUACCAAGGCAAUGAUGCAUAGCCGACCUGAGAGGGUGAUCGGCCACACUGGGACUGAGACACGGCCCAG
rnacentral:rRNA from 1 species